rnacentral:misc_RNA from 1 species
AACAAGGCGUACCUGCGGACCUGCGGAAGGAUCAUUACCGAGUGCGGGUCCCCUCGCGGGGCCCAACCUCCCACCCGUGUCUACCGUCACCUGUUGCUUCGGCGGGCCCGCCUUCGUGCCGCCGGGGGGCCCUCUGCGCCCCCGGGCCCGCGCCCGCCGAAGACUCUAGGAACACUGAAUGAAGGAUGCCGUCUGAGUCAAACGACACAAUCGUUAAAACUUUUAACAAUGGAUCUCAGA